rnacentral:lncRNA from 1 species
AUUUUUUGUUUGGACAUGAGUGUAUAUUUUAGUAUCCAUGAUUCUAUGAAUGUAUACAGUAGAAGAUUAUGAGCUGGUCUGGUGCUCAAAUAUUCAAACACUGCCACUUAUUUUGCAAACAUUUCAUUCCUUGGGAAAGAGGUUUGGAAUGUUCCAGACGAAUUAGUGGCACAGAGACCAUUGAUUGUAGCAGGGACCAAGGAAGUUUCUGGAACAACUCAACAGAAAUUUCAUUAUACACUGAUUUUUUGAAUGUUAUGAUUUCUAGAAAAGAUUCAUUAUAGUGAAUUUUUUCAUAACAGAUUUUGUUAUGAGAUUCUUCUAGCAUUGUCUUUUAUAAGUUAUGUGUAGGGGCUUCAUUAUAAAUUUGUUAUAUUGAAAAUUUUGUUAUAACAGAAUUUUACUUUUUGUUCUAUAUAUGAGAUAACAGAAAAUACAAUUUUUUUAUAUGAAAUCUUAUCC